AUUGAACGCUGGCGGCAGGCCUAACACAUGCAAGUCGAGCGAGCGGCGGACGGUUGAGUAAUGUCUGGGAAACUGCCUGAUGGCGGGGGAUAACUACUGGAAACGGUAGCUAAUACCGCAUACCAUCAGAUUUGCCCAGAUGGGAUUAGCUAGUAGGUGGGGGAACGGCUCACCUAGGCGACGAUCCCUAGCGGGUCUGAGAGGAUGACCCGCCACACUGGAACUGAGACACGGUCCAGACGCCUACGGGAGGCAGCAGUGGGGAAUAUUGGACAAUGGGCGAAAGCCUGAUGCAGCCAGGCCGCGUGUGUGAAGAAGGCCUUCGGGUUGUAAAGCACUUUCAGCGGGGAGGCGUUACCCGCAGAAGAAGCACCGGCUAACUCCGUGCCAGCAGCCGCGGUAAUUC
rnacentral:rRNA from 1 species